rnacentral:lncRNA from 1 species
ACACGGAUUUGCAUUGUGUCAUCCUAAAACCAAGAAUGAUAGUCGCAAUCUUUGUUUCAGUCAUUGCAAUAGUGGCAGCAAACAUUGACUAUUCUGGCAGACCGACCCUAAAAGACGUAGAAAAGUUUUACUUACCAGGAACAAAAAUUUAUUUGGUGAUGAGAAGCUACAACGUAAAAACAUGGGGUAAAGAAAAUACAUGUCUUUAUAGCAAAGUUGAGAGCUACAACGAUAAGACCAUAACGAUGCGGCAAGGUUACACUCCUCGCAGUCAUAACGGACUGAUUUACCCAGUGACAUUGAAGGUUUCAUGGAGUGGAGGUACAGACGUGGCUCCACGACUGAAUGCCUCAACUUACGUUGAUUUUUCGUACAUGAGAGUAUACCGUUUUCACUACCACGACCGCAAUUCUCACUGCGCUGUUCUCACGUUCGCUGACGAUUCAG